GGAGAGGUCGCAUAGUGGUCUAGUGCGCCGCCUUGGAAAGGCGGUAAGGGUGAAAGUCCUUCAGGAGUUCGAAUCUCCUCCUCUCCG
rnacentral:tRNA from 1 species